rnacentral:rRNA from 1 species
CGGAGAGAGUGGCGCACGGGUAGCGUAACGCGUGAGCAACCUGCCCAUAUCAGGGGGAUAGCCCGGAGAAAUCCGGAUUAACACCGCAUGACACGCCGGGACGGCAUCGUUCCGGCGUCAAAUAUUCAUAGGAUAUGGAUGGGCUCGCGUGACAUUAGCUAGUUGGUGGGGUAACGGCCCACCAAGGCGACGAUGUCUAGGGGCUCUGAGAGGAGAAUCCCCCACACUGGUACUGAGACACGGACCAGACUCCUACGGGAGGCAGCAGUAAGGAAUAUUGGUCAAUGGGGGCAACCCUGAACCAGCCAUGCCGCGUGCAGGACGACUGCCCUAUGGGUUGUAAACUGCUUUUGCCGGGGAAUAAACCCCACUACGUGUAGUGGGCUGAACGUACCCGGAGAAUAAGGAUCGGCUAACUCCGUGCCAGCAGCCGCGGUAAUACGGAGGAUCCGAGCGUUAUCCGGAUUUAUUGGGUUUAAAGGGUGCGUAGGCGGCACUUUAAGUCAGGGGUGAAAGACGGCAGCUCAACUGUCGCAGUGCCCUUGAUACUGAAGUGCUUGAAUGCGGUUGAAGACGGCGAAAUGAGACAAGUAGCGGUGAUAUGCAUAUAUUUGUCUCACAACACCGAUUGCGAGGGCAGCUGUCUACCCCGUUAUUGACGCUGAUGCACGAAAGCGUGGGGAUCGAACAGGAUUAUAUACCCUGUAGUCCACGCCCUAAACGAUGAUAACUCGAUGUUUGCGAUAUACCGUAAGCGUCCAAGCGAAGCGUUAAAAGCGUUAAGUUAUCCACCCUGGGGAGUACGCCCGCAAGGGUGAAACUCAAAGGAAUUGACGGGGGCCCGCACAAGCGAGGAGCAUGUGUUUAAUUCGAUGAUACGCGAGGAACCUU